rnacentral:rRNA from 1 species
UACGUAGGUGGCAAGCGUUGUCCGGAUUUAUUGGGUUUAAAGGGUGCGUAGGCGGUCUUAUAAGUCAGUGGUGAAAUACGGCAGCUCAACUGUCGAGGUGCCAUUGAUACUGUAGGACUUGAGUACAGACGAGGUAGGCGGAAUUGACGGUGUAGCGGUGAAAUGCUUAGAUAUCGUCAAGAACACCGAUAGCGAAGGCAGCUUACUAGGCUGUAACUGACGCUGAGGCACGAAAGCGUGGGGAGCAAACAGG